UGGGGAAUUUUGGACAAUGGGCGAAAGCCUGAUCCAAGCAAUGCCGCGUGUGUGAAGAAGGCCUUCGGGUUGUAAAGCACUUUUGUCCGGGAAAGAAAUCCUUGGCUCUAAUACAGUCGGGGGAUGACGGUACCGGAAAGAAUAAGCACCGGCUAACUACGUGCCAGCAGCCGCGGUAAUACGUAGGGUGCAAGCGUUAUCGGAAUUACUGGGCGUAAAGCGUGCGCAGGCGGUUUGCUAAGACCGAUGUGAAAUCCCCGGGCUCAACCUGGGAACUGCAUUGGUGACUGGCAGGCUAGAGUAUGGCAGAGGGGGGUAGAAUUCCACGUGUAGCAGUGAAAGUGCGUAGAGAUGUGGAGGAAUACCGAUGGCGAAGGCAGCCCCCUGGGCCAAUACUGACGCUCAUGCACG
rnacentral:rRNA from 1 species